CCAUACUAAGAUCCGUUUAGGACGUCACCUGUCCCAUACGCAAGGCCAAAAGCAUCAGGCCAAUCUGGCACAUCGUGCGGCUAAAGAAACGAAGGAUGGAACGUGGGUUAUACAACCAGAAAAGCACGCAUCGAGCUGAAAAAGUUUGUCCCAAACAGAUCUAUUUCAAUUUUAUUGCUUCUUAUGUUCAUUUUCCACAUUAGGUUUAUGAUAAUAAUAAUAAUUUGUAACAUUCAAAAAACACGAGCUUCCGCAAGUUUCCAAAAUCGAUUGGCGCCAGAAGCGGCGAGAGCACAAACUGUCAACACUGUCAUCAAUGUCACGGUAUUUUUCUCCAAAGGACGCGUUGGUUGGUUGUUCGCGAAGUAUUUAUACUGUUUUUCCGAUAAAAACAACGUUUGCAGCAUGGAUUACCAAAACCAUGCCGGUGACAACACCGGCGGCGUAGGCGAGUGCAAGUGGUACCGGCGUGAACGAUUGUGCCAGCCAGCGCUGGAAAAGAUCGAUCUGAACCUGGAUAAAACGAGGCAGCAUCUGACUCACAGUCAUGGCUAAAAUCAUCAAGCCAAUUUGGCACAUUGUGCCGCGAAACAAGUGAAGGAAGCACCGUGAGUUAUACGACCGAAAAAACCACGCAUCGAGCCGAAAAAGUUCGCCAAGAUCGAUCGCCCCGGUUAUCAGGUGACGAAGCAGCACGAUCCGGUAUUGUACCGCGGCAUCGGUUUAUAUUCGUUUACGAACCACCAUCGAAAAGAUCGAGCACCAGUCAAACACGAGAACACGAGCUUCCGCCAAUUUCCACCAUAAAACGAAUGGCGCUAGCAUCGGCGACAGCACGAACUGUCAGUGCUGUCAUCAAUGUCAAGCCAUUUUUCUCCAAGGGACGCGCUGGAUGGUUGUUGGCGAAAUCUUUCUGCCGUUUUUCCGAUAAAUACAACGUUUGCAGCAUGGAUUACCAAAACCAUGUCGGUGACAACACCGGCGGCGUAGGCGAGUGCAAGUGGUACCGGCGUGAACGAUUGUGCCAGCCAGCGCUGGAAAAGAUCGAUCUGAACCUGGAUAAAACGAGGCAGCAUCUGACUCACAGUCAUGGCUAAAAUCAUCAAGCCAAUUUGGCACAUUGUGCCGCGAAACAAGUGAAGGAAGCACCGUGAGUUAUACGACCGAAAAAACCACGCAUCGAGCCGAAAAAGUUCGCCAAGAUCGAUCGCCCCGGUUAUCAGGUGACGAAGCAGCACGAUCCGGUAUUGUACCGCGGCAUCGGUUUAUGUUCGUUUACGUACCAUCAUCGAGAUGAUCGAGCACCAGUCAAACACGAGAACACGAGCUUCCGCCAAUUUCCACCAUAAAACGAAUGGCGCUAGCAUCGGCGACAGCACGAACUGUCAGUGCUGUCAUCAAUGUCAAGCCAUUUUUCUCCAAGGGACGCGCUGGAUGGUUGUUGGCCAAAUAGUUCUACUGUUUUUCCGAUAAAUACAACGUUUGCAGCAUGGAUUACCAAAACCAUGCCGGUGACAACACCGGCGGCGUAGGCGAGAGCAAGUGGUACCGGCGUGAACGAUUGCAUCAGCCAGCGCUGGAAACGAUCGAUCUCAACCAGGAUAUCUACUAAGAUCCAACGAAGGCAGCACCUGUCCCACACGCAGGUCGAAAAGCAUCAGGCCAAUCUGGCACGUCGUGCCGCGAAAGAAACAAAGGAAGCACCGUCGUUGAAAAAACUGGGAAAGAAACACAUCGAUCCGAAAAAGUGUGUCAAGAUCGGUACCGCGGCAUCGGUUUAUUUCCGCUUACGAUCUAAACAAGGAUAUCUACUAAGAUCCAACGAGGGCAUCAUUUGUCCCACACGCGGAGUGAAAGGGAUCAGGUCAAUCUGGCACGUCGUGCCGUGAAAGAAACAAAGGAAGCACCGUCGUUGAUAUAACUGGGAAAGAAACGCGUCGAUCCGAAAAAGUGUGUUAAGAUCGGUACCGCUCCUUCGGUUUAUUUCCGUUUACAAACAAAAGAUCGUAACUGGACCAUGCCAUUGAAAGAAAAAUACAAAACGAUUUUUCCUACAGUUUUCCUUAAAGCCGGAACCGAAGAAAAUUCCACCACCGCCACCGAAUGUGCACCGUAAGCCGAUAUUUAAUCUGGUUCCGCCACCGCCGACUUAAGUAAAGCGAGUGCAGAUUGAUUUAGGUCCGGAUGUGAAUGUUAAACUAAUGUAUGAUCAUAAUUUACAAUAAUAAAACUGUCCUAUGGUUGUUAAAUU